rnacentral:ncRNA from 2 species
CAAAUGAAUACAUUUUAUGGUUCUUUCUUAUGAAAGCUAAGAGGGAAAGAGGUGAGAAACCUCUGCAGCCCCCGCUACUGUAAGCAGGACGAAAUUCCAAUAAACCACUGUGUAAAUGGGAAGGUAGGAAGAGUAGGAAGAGUGCAAGCCAGGAGACCUGCCAUAAAACGUGAAUGAAG